UACGUAGGGACCAAGCGUUGUUCGGAUUUACUGGGCGUAAAGGGCGCGUAGGCGGCAAUUCAAGUCAUCUGUGAAAUCUCCGGGCUUAACCCGGAACGGUCAGGUGAUACUGUUUUGCUAGAGUGCGGAAGGGGCAAUCGGAAUUCUCGGUGCAGCGGUGAAAUGCGUAGAUAUGUGGAGGAAUACCGAUGGCGAAGGCAGCCCCCUGGGCCAAUACUGACGCUCAUGCACGAAAGCGUGGGGAGCAAACAGG
rnacentral:rRNA from 1 species